UACGUAGGCAGCAAGCGUUGUUCGGAAUUACUGGGCGUAAAGAGUGUGUAGGCGGUGCUCUAAGUUCGGUGUGAAAUCUCCCGGCUCAACUGGGAGGGUGCGCCGGAAACUGGGGUGCUGGAGCGCGGGAGAGGAAAGCGGAAUUCCUGGUGUAGCGGUGAAAUGCGUAGAUAUCAGGAGGAACAGCCGGCGGUGUGAAGACGGCUUU
rnacentral:rRNA from 1 species